GACGAACGCUGGCGGCGUGCCUAAUACAUGCAAGUCGAGCGAAGUUUUUCUGGUGCUUGCACUAGAAAAACUUAGCGGCGAACGGGUGAGUAACACGUAAAGAACCUGCCUCAUAGACUGGGACAACUAUUGGAAACGAUAGCUAAUAUCGGAUAACAGUAUUUCUCGCAUGAGAGAUAUUUAAAAGUUGGUUAUGCCAACACUAUGAGAUGGCUUUGCGGUGCAUUAGCUAGUUGGUGGGGUAAAGGCCCACCAAGGCGACGAUGCAUAGCCGACCUGAGAGGGUGAUCGGCCACACUGGGACUGAGACACGGCCCAGACUCCUACGGGAGGCAGCAGUAGGGAAUCUUCCGCAAUGGGCGAAAGCCUGACGGAGCAACGCCGCGUGAGUGAAGAAGGAUUUCGGUUCGUAAAGCUCUGUUGUUAGGGAAGAAUGGAUAUGUAGUAACUAUACAUGUAAGAGACGGUACCUAACCAGAAAGCCACGGCUAACUACGUG
rnacentral:rRNA from 1 species